CCUACGAGAGGCAGCAGUGGGGAAUAUUGGGCAAUGGGCGCAAGCCUGACCCAGCGACGCCGCGUGAGGGAAGACGGUCUUCGGAUUGUAAACCUCUUUCAGCAGGGAAGACAAAAGGACGGUACCUGCAGAAGAAGCCACGGCUAACUACGUGCCAACAGCCGCGGUAAUGCGUAGGGAGCAAGCGUUAUCCGGAAUUACUGGGUUUAAAGCGCUCGUAGGCGGUAUGUCAAGUCAAGGGUGAAAUCCCCGCGCUCAACGUGGGAACUGCCUUUGAAACUGGCAAACUGGAGUGUGUGAGAGGAUAGUGGAAUUCCAGGUGUAGGAGUGAAAUCCGGAGAUAUCUGGAGGAACAUCAGUGGCGAAGGCGACUAUCUGGCACAUAACUGACGCUGAGGAGCGAAAGCGUGGGUAGCAAACAGGAUUAGAUACCCUUGUAGUC
rnacentral:rRNA from 1 species